AGCCCGUGAGGCUUCCUGUUCUCAGGCCUCAGUAUGUUCACAUUUGGGAAAGGGCGGAGCGAGAGGAGCUGAGUCCUUCUCGGUUUAAAAGCGUCUCUCCAACUUUUCCACUGAAGAGUGAAUCCAGAGCCUCUCUCCCACCAAGAUACUGCUGUCUUUCCAGACCUCCUAAUGCUAACUUUUUAAACAGACAUGAAUUGCUUGCUUUUUGAAUUUUGAGAAGAUACUCUGGAAAAGAUCUAGCAAGAUGGCAGAAGCACAUAUGGAAGACUAUGAAGUUCUUGGAGAGACUCCGCAGCAUUGUUCAUAAUGGCUGUUCACAGCAAACAGAAUUUCAAACCUUCUGGGCUUCUUCCCAACUUUAAAUUCUGUUGACUGGAUUUACUAGGGGAGAGAGAGACAGGCUUAAUGCGUUUUAAGAUAAUUUUCUCCCCAAGGACUUAGAAAGGAAACACAUUUGAUAAUUAAGGGCAUGGUGGAAUCUAAGUUUUUGCGCCUGACUUUGAAGAUCUAGUGUCUUAUAUUUAAUCUGGACUCAGCUUCACCUCUCUUCAGUCACUGAGCUGUGGCUACACAGUGUACCUGGAUAUGAUUCCACCAGAUUCUAAGUGAGAAACACAUGAUGCUCACAUGGACACAGGUAGCAUAAUGAUCCUCCUUCUGUUGUGCAGACUGGCCAAGGACUCACACUAUCCUGGUCUUAGCCUCAUAAGUGAUUAAGGGAUUUCUCCAUCUUUCAAAAUAUGGUCUCUACACUGGUGCCAGGACUAGAAUGUGCAAUUAGAAGCACAGGAAGAUGAAGUUUGGUGAACCUCUUACUUAAAAGAUAUCUCAUCUCCCCUUUCCACACAACUGAAGCAACCUAAUCCACUUCAUUCAUUUUACAUUUAGAAUUACAUUUUAGAAUUGCACAUUUUCUUGGGUCAACACGUGUCAAGGAUUUAGCCCUAUGGGCCCUGAAAUAGACACUAUCUUUUUCAUCCCUUUGAUUUACUCAUGGCAUGCUUAGACAUUUAUUACAGCAUCUCAUUAAGUAGUGAAUGAGACUCAUGUGUGCAGAACAGAUCUAAAAUUGUUUCUGAGAUGUAGAUUUUUUCGAAAAGUCCCAACAUUUCUUCCACACAAAGAUAGAUGUCAUACCUAUGUAUCAAUUAGAGCUUUAAUGGAGUAAGAUUAUCUGUUCUAUGGUAAUAAAGUUUUCUUUCUUCUGAGCAGCCACUUGCAAAGUUGUGCAAGAUUCCAUGCUUUAAAUGGCAAACAGUACUGCUCAUCUCACAGAAUUCAAGUCGAUCCAGAUGUGGAUUUGAUUAAUAGAAGCUUACUAACUGUGGCUAAUUACUGAUAAUGAUAGCAUCACGAGGCAACCUCCUCAUCAAUGUCACCUUGGUCUCUUCUGAUUGCUAGGAUAGGAAGAAACUCUACCUGCCGCUCUUCCCCAGUCAAAAUGAAAACAGGGUUGGAUUUAAACCUUGGUUUGAAUGGUAGUGAGGUAGUGAACACAGGUGCAAUAACAAGUAGCCAUCCAGAAAAUGAAAGCUGCUUUUUAGAGCCAUGUGGGUACUACAGACCUGUGGACACUGGUUUUACAGUAAGGACAGAUUAGCUAAUAUCCAAAUUCUCAGAGCAGUGUUUAGUGAUCUUUUGGUAGUUUUCCCUUGACACUUAGAGCUCCAUUCUAAUUGUUUCUGUUUCCUAAAAGCAGGGGAACAGAGUUUAUGUGUCGAGAAUAAAAGUGAAAAUAAACGUCUUUUCCUGUUAGAAUAAUUUUUUUAUAGUGGUAAAACCCUUAGCAUUUCUGCCUCUUGCAUCUUUGCUUAGCAUGCCCAGAGUGUUUAUUGUUACCAUUCCCUAAACAGUACUGCAUUUACAUUUUGUUGUACAUGUUAUAUGCAACAUGCAGACAAACUAAAGUGUAUAGUAGGAUUGUGUACAUUAUAAAUGAGUACUGUGCCAAUUGAUGUGUAAGGGAUGAGCACUGUCAGAUUUGGGUAUCUGUGGGGGUCUUUGAAACAGUCCCUUGUGGAUUCCUAUGGAGGCUGUGCAUGAUUACAGCAUUUUUCUCUUUCAAGCCUAAUUGCCAGCAACUAGAUUUUCAGUGUUCUCCCAAAUAUUUGGGGGCUCUUGAGAAUUCCCAGACAGCUCAUUCUCCUAUUGUGUUUUCUUGUUCUAUUUCUAUGUUGCCUGACUGCUGCCUAUGAUCAGCCAGUAUUCUCAGACUUCUGCUGCAUGCCACAGCAAGGCUUCACUAAUAACUAUUGCUGAAUUCCCAAUGUGAUAUUAGGGAGAAGUCAGGCCAGGCUCAUUUGCUAUUUUUUUUUUCUGAAACAUGGUGCAUGCAAGUUUAACUCACAUCACAAAAGAGACUAGGCUAAAAUAUUCAAGAGGAUCAAAAUUUAGGGCUGUGAAAUACAACAGAAAAAACUUGAUCAUCUAUUUAAAAUGGUCACAAUUAAAACAAUUUUACUUAUUUGUGAAUUUCUUUUUUGUGCAGGGGAUUGAUCUGAGAGGCCUUCUACAUGCUAGCGAAACUGGCAUCCAUAUCUCAGAUGUUUUCCAGUAGGCAAUACACACAUAUUAGCGAAAUCUGGCAUCCAUAGUUCUCAGAUGUUUUCUAGUAGGCAAUACACACAUAUAGGUAUUGAUGAGCCUUGAAGAAUAGUCACUAGAGUCCAGUAAUACACUUUAAAAGUUGGAGACUAGCUAAGCAUCGAGAGUAACACAUCACCAACUCAUUCCUGAUCGCCUUUGUCUCAUUCUUUCCUACAAUGUGAAUUUCUCGUAGUUCUACCUAAGAUUCACUCCUAGACCACAUAGUACUCAGCAUGAACACAUAAUACUUUAUGGAGAUAUAGUUUUAAAAGAAAAAUCCAUUUAAAAUCAUUUAUCCCUCUUUAUAGUUCCAUAUUGAUUCUGUAGACAUAUUCUGUUUACCCCAAUAGUUUUUAAAAAUAAAUUUUUGUAUUGCUUACGGAUAAUUAAACAAUAGGAUAUUUCA